rnacentral:lncRNA from 1 species
GUGCAGUGCCGCUCCCCCGACCGACUCCUUGAGAAGAAACGGCGGAGACCUGAGACCCGGAGGCUGAGGCUGUAGAUGAAAUUGAAUCAUGGAAGAAUGCCUUUAUCUGAGGAGUCAUCACCACUAGGGAGCUAUGGAGGCUGUUAUCCUUGACAUCUGCAGCAGCCCUUCCAAGCUGUGGAGACCAGGUCAUCUGGAAUGCCCAUUUAUGUCAAUGGAAGAAAGAAAAAGGGGUCUCCUCCCAUCCUCACCACUGCAUUCUCCCACCAACCCUGCUCCUGUCCCACUUCCCACAACUCAGUUGUUGACAAUUUAACAGUGGGUUUCUGGAAACA